UACAGAGGUCCCAAGCGUUGUUUCGGAUUCAUUGGGCGUAAAGGGUGCGUAGGCGGCGCGGUAAGUCGGGUGUGAAAUCUCGGAGCUUAACUCCGAAACUGCAUUCGAUACUGCCGUGCUUGAGGACUGGAGAGGAGACUGGAAUUUACGGUGUAGCGGUGAAAUGCGUAGAUAUCGUAAGGAAGACCAGUGGCGAAGGCGGGUCUCUGGACAGUUCCUGACGCUGAGGCACGAAGGCCAGGGGAGCAAACGGG
rnacentral:rRNA from 1 species